GUAGGUGAACCUGCGGAAGGAUCAUUCACACAUGCUUCGUGCAUCAUCCAAUUUACAACCCAGUUAAUUCUCUGAUGGAGGGACUCUUGCGCUUCGAGCGUUGCCCGCCUUGGGCCUGACCACAGCCACCCUUUGGUGGAGAAGGACAGCUGCCCCAAGGUUGCGUUUGCACACUUGCUGUCGCGGUUUCCCUCCUCAGCUUUUGCUUCUCUGUUUUUUUCUCAUAUUCAACAUGCUUUAAAGAAUUUUUUAGAAAAUUCUCAACGAUGGAUAUCUGGGUUCCCAUACCGAUGAAGAACGCAGCGAACUGCGAUACGCAAUGCGAAUAGCAGAAUCCCGCGAGACAUUAGAUCUUUGAACGCAAAUGGCGCUGGCUUGCCAGCAUGUUUGUUUCAGUGUAUUUGGAGAGUAUUCUCAUCACUUCAGCAGAAUGCGACUGAGGCCACCUUCGGGCGGUCUCUUUCGUUAAAUAGGAAGUGCGAGGUUUGCGCAACCUCCGAAACGAAGUAGUCACAUCAUUGAGUGUGAUCUCGUUCUCGGAUAAAAGGUGGCCAAUUUGCUUCGCUCAAGAUGACAAAGAAUCUCCUUUUUUGACACCUGAAAUCAAGCAGGGCUACCCGCUGAACUUAAGCAUAUCAGUA
rnacentral:rRNA from 1 species